rfam:Pan troglodytes isolate Yerkes chimp pedigree #C0471 (Clint) chromosome X, whole genome shotgun sequence.
GCUGGGCGUGGUGGCUCACGCCUGUAAUCCCAACACUUUGGGAGGCCGAGGCAGGUGGAUCACCUGAGGUCAGGAGUUCAAGAUCAGCCUGGCCAACAUGGUAAAACCCUGUCUCUA